CACGUAGGGGGCAAGCGUUGUCCGGAUUUAUUGGGCGUAAAGAGCUCGUAGGCGGUUUGUCGCGUCUGCUGUGAAAGUCCGAGGCUCAACCUCGGAUCUGCAGUGGGUACGGGCAGACUAGAGUGUGGUAGGGGAGACUGGAAUUCCUGGUGUAGCGGUGGAAUGCGCAGAUAUCAGGAGGAACACCAAUGGCGAAGGCAGGUCUCUGGGCCACAACUGACGCUGAGGAGCGAAAGCAUGGGGAGCGAACAGG
rnacentral:rRNA from 1 species